UACGGAGGAUCCAAGCGUUAUCCGGAAUCAUUGGGUUUAAAGGGUCCGUAGGCGGUUUUAUAAGUCAGUGGUGAAAUCCGGCAGCUCAACUGUCGAACUGCCAUUGAUACUGUAGAACUUGAAUUUCUGUGAAGUAACUAGAAUAUGUAGUGUAGCGGUGAAAUGCUUAGAUAUUACAUGGAAUACCAAUUGCGAAGGCAGGUUACUAACAUUAUAUUGACGCUGAUGGACGAAAGCGUGGGGAGCGAACAGG
rnacentral:rRNA from 1 species